UUUUGAUGACUUAUUUUACUAUCUAAGGCCGGUCCUUUAGAUAGUGGGUUUUGGACGUGUCAAAUAGAUGGCGUGAAAGAAUGUUGUGUUGAUAUGUGCUUAUGGCGGCUCGUUGUCAACAGUUCAGCUACUUCAAAAAUUACCAAUAAAUUCGUUGAAGAAAAUGUGAAAGGGGAAUGCAGCCUACUGUCAACUACUGUGUUCAUGUGUUGUAAAUCCUGGGAUCCUACUGAAUGUGUCAUCCAAAUGACAGAGGAUUCAUCAUAAUUAUCGACUGAUUCUAUUAGACUUGCACCAACCCCAGCAUGGACCAAUCUCUCAUUCCAUCUUCUAGAGAACCUUGGAUAACUGAUUGGUAGUUUAGUGUGUCGAGUCAUGUCCUUUGAAGAAAAAGGACAAUAACUAUACAGUCAACAAGGUCCUUUGUUUGGUAACCCAUUGGCUGCUACUCUUGAAUAUCCCUUUUUACUUCCUGAAACAGGCCCUCUUGAUUUGAGGGUAACUCCUUCGCUACUUAUCGUGGACUUCAUCCAUUGGUGAAAACUGAUAAGAGAAAGCUGUAAUUCAAGACUGAUAGUUGUUUGAUGUCUAAGCCGGAAGCCUACUAUGGUUAAUCGCUCUCGUAAUAACUGUUCUUCAACUCUUUGCUCUUUUUCUGGUUUCUCUUAACCAUUGGCCAUGUCUUAACCAUUGUCCCUGGCUGCAGUCAAUUAAGGCAGUAUCUCCCCCUGUCUUGAUUGACUGUAUGUGCGAGUUUCAAAAGCAGUUUAUCACCCAAAUGAGACAAAAAGGAGUUUGUU
rnacentral:lncRNA from 1 species